rnacentral:rRNA from 1 species
AGCGAACGCUGGCGGCAGGCUUAACACAUGCAAGUCGAGCGGGCACUUUCGGGUGUCAGCGGCGGACGGGUGAGUAACGCGUGGGAACGUGCCCUCUGGUUCGGAAUAACUCAGGGAAACUUGAGCUAAUACCGGAUACGCCCUUUUGGGGAAAGGCUUGCUGCCGGAGGAUCGGCCCGCGUCUGAUUAGCUAGUUGGUGAGGUAACGGCUCACCAAGGCGACGAUCAGUAGCUGGUCUGAGAGGAUGAUCAGCCACACUGGGACUGGGACACGGCCCAGACUCCUACGGGAAGCAGCAGUGGGGAAUAUUGGACGAUGGGCGCAAGCCUGAUCCAGCCAUGCCGCGUGAGUGAUGAAGGCCUUAGGGUUGUAAAGCUCUUUUAUCCGGGACGAUAAUGACGGUACCGGAGGAAUAAGCCCCGGCUAACUUCGUG